UCGCAGUGAUGACGUAAUUUCCUGCCAUUCGUAGUUUACACCAGAGGUUGAAAGACCAAAGAUGGCCCAAAUCUUCCUUGGAUGUCUGAGCGA